UACGUAGGUCCCGAGCGUUGUCCGGAUUUAUUGGGCGUAAAGCGAGCGCAGGUGGUUUAUUAAGUCUGGUGUAAAAGGCAGUGGCUCAACCAUUGUAUGCAUUGGAAACUGGUAGACUUGAGUGCAGGAGAGGAGAGCGGAAUUCCAUGUGUAGCGGUGAAAUGCGUAGAUAUAUGGAGGAACACCGGUGGCGAAAGCGGCUCUCUGGCCUGUAACUGACACUGAGGCUCGAAAGCGUGGGGAGCAAACAGG
rnacentral:rRNA from 2 species